rnacentral:rRNA from 1 species
AGUGAACGCUGGCGGCGUGCCUAACACAUGCAAGUCGAACGAGAACGGGCUAUAGCUUGCUAUAGUUGUCAGCUAAGUGGCGCACGGGUGAGUAAUGUAUAGGUAAUAUGCCUCUUACUAAGGGAUAACAAAUGGAAACGCUUGCUAAUACCUUAUACUCCUUAUUAACAGAAGUUAAUAAGGGAAAGAUUUAUUGGUAAGAGAUUAGCCUGUAUUGUAUCAGUUAGUUGGUGAGGUAAUGGCUUACCAAGACUAUGACACAUAACUGGUUUGAGAGGAUGAUCAGUCACACUGGAACUGAGACACGGUCCAGACUCCUACGGGAGGCAGCAGUGGGGAAUAUUGCACAAUGGACGAAAGUCUGAUGCAGCAACGCCGCGUGGAGGAUGACACAUUUCGGUGCGUAAACUCCUUUUAUAUGAGAAGAUAAUGACGGUAUUAUAUGAAUAAGCACCGGCUAACUCCGUGCCAGCAGCCGCCGUAA